rnacentral:rRNA from 1 species
UACGGAGGGUGCAAGCGUUGUUCGGAAUUAUUGGGUUUAAAGGGUGCGUAGGAGGGCAGGUAAGUCAGUGGUGAAAUCUCUGGGCUUAACCCAGAAACUGCCGUUGAUACUAUCUGUCUUGAAUACCGUGGAGGUGAGCGGAAUAUGUCAUGUAGCGGUGAAAUGCUUAGAUAUGACAUAGAACACCAAUUGCGAAGGCAGCUCGCUACACGAAUAUUGACUCUGAGGCACGAAAGCGUGGGGAUCAAACAGG